rnacentral:rRNA from 1 species
GACGAACGCUGGCGGCGCGCCUAACACAUGCAAGUCGAACGAGCGAGAUUUAGCUUGCUUUCUCGAGCGAGUGGCGAACGGGUGAGUAACGCGUGAGGAACCUGCCUCAAAGAGGGGGACAACAGUUGGAAACGACUGCUAAUACCGCAUAAGCCCACGGGUCGGCAUCGACCAGAGGGAAAAGGAGCAAUCCGCUUUGAGAUGGCCUCGCGUCCGAUUAGCUAGUUGGUGAGGUAACGGCCCACCAAGGCAACGAUCGGUAGCCGGACUGAGAGGUUGAACGGCCACAUUGGGACUGAGACACGGCCCAGACUCCUACGGGAGGCAGCAGUGGGGAAUAUUGCACAAUGGGGGAAACCCUGAUGCAGCGACGCCGCGUGGAGGAAGAAGGUCUUCGGAUUGUAAACUCCUGUUGUUGGGGAAGAUAAUGACGGUACCCAACAAGGAAGUGACGGCUAACUACGUGCCAGCAGCCGCGGUAAAACGUAGGUCACAAGCGUUGUCCGGAAUUACUGGGUGUAAAGGGAGCGCAGGCGGGAAGACAAGUUGGAAGUGAAAUCUAUGGGCUCAACCCAUAAACUGCUUUCAAAACUGUUUUUCUUGAGUAGUGCAGAGGUAGGCGGAAUUCCCGGUGUAGCGGUGGAAUGCGUAGAUAUCGGGAGGAACACCAGUGGCGAAGGCGGCCUACUGGGCACCAACUGACGCUGAGGCUCGAAAGUGUGGGUAGCAAACAGGAUUAGAUACCCUGGUAGUCCACACCGUAAACGAUGAUUACUAGGUGUUGGAGGAUUGACCCCUUCAGUGCCGCAGUUAACACAAUAAGUAAUCCACCUGGGGAGUACGACCGCAAGGUUGAAACUCAAAGGAAUUGACGGGGGCCCGCACAAGCAGUGGAGUAUGUGGUUUAAUUCGACGCAACGCGAAGAACCUUACCAAGUCUUGACAUCCCUUGACAGACAUAGAAAUAUGUAUUCUCUUCGGAGCAAGGAGACAGGUGGUGCAUGGUUGUCGUCAGCUCGUGUCGUGAGAUGUUGGGUUAAGUCCCGCAACGAGCGCAACCCUUAUGGUCAGUUACUACGCAAGAGGACUCUGGCCAGACUGCCGUUGACAAAACGGAGGAAGGUGGGGAUGACGUCAAAUCAUCAUGCCCUUUAUGACUUGGGCUACACACGUACUACAAUGGCGUUAAACAAAGAGAAGCAAGACCGCGAGGUGGAGCAAAACUCAGAAACAACGUCCCAGUUCGGACUGCAGGCUGCAACUCGCCUGCACGAAGUCGGAAUUGCUAGUAAUCGUGGAUCAGCAUGCCACGGUGAAUACGUUCCCGGGCCU